CCCUUAGAUGUCCUGGGCCGCACGCGCGCUACACUGAGUGUCUGAGAUACGAGUCUGCCUGGUCCGGCAAGGUCUAGGUAAUCGCUAAAAGACACAUCAUGCUUGGGAUAGAUUAUUGCAAAUAUUAAUCUUGAACGAGGAAUUCCUAGUAAGCGCAAGUCAACAGCUUGCGUUGAUUACGCCCCUGCCCUUUGUACACACCGCCCGUCGCUACUACUGAUUGGAUGUUUAAGCGAGGUUCUCGAACUGCUAGCGACUUAGCUUCGGUGAGGUCGCAGUGUGGGAAGUGAACCGAGCUUUGGUGUCUAGAGGAAGUAAAAGUCGUAACA
rnacentral:rRNA from 1 species